CCAUGGCUAUCUGUUGAUCCAUCUCUGGUGCAAGAAUCCAGGAGUCUCGUUUUCUCUUCCUGUUAUGGAUACAUUGAGCUUAAACCCAUCAAGAGCUACACAACAUUUCUCGAUGGAUGCAUGUUUUUAACUAAAAAUGGAAAAAUUGGAAAAAGUUUUCGUCUUUCGUUGUUGUAGUAUACCUGGGACUCAAUGGAGAAUGAAGAGGAUGCAGCAGCUUCGUCUGCGUCCAUGGAAUGAUGUGCUUCAGCUUGCUCCAUAUUCAUUUCUACUCAGAUAUCAGGAAAUUAUGGAGGAGCUGAGACUUCAUAGAGAAGAAAUGAGGUUUAGAGGGGAGGAGAGAAUGGGGACUAUAUGGGGAACAGAACCAAGUUGUGGAUUGGCUUGCGAGAAAUCACGAAUUGGAUCUUGAUUUGCAGGAAUAGAACCAAGUUGUGGAUUGGCUUGGGAGAAAUCACGAAUUGGGUCCUGAUUUGCAGGAAUAGAACCAAGUUGCGGAUUGGCUUGCGAGAAAUCACGAAUUGGGUCCUGAUUUGCAGGAACAGAACCAAGUUGCGGAUUGGCUUGCGAGAAAUCGCGAAUUGGGUCCUGAUUUGGCCUUGUUGUCUUCCUGUCCGAAUGCUGACCUUGCGGCACGCGUCCAGAAAGACAUGAUCCGGGUACCUUACCUAGCACCCGAGGAGAUUGAUUUUGUUGUCUUUUUUUUCUUUGUCGGGGCUUCGUUCUUCCCUUUCCCUCAAAGAAAAAAAAAUAAAUAUCUUUCUAAUCUUUCUGUGAAUUAUAUUUAAAGACUUUUGGCAAGAUUUAUAUCCUAAAUAAGAGGCAAGCUA